CACACACUCCUGCUAGAAGGUCGAAGGAAAUCAAAAGUGAAAUAAUAUUAUUAUGUUAUAUUGAGGUGUGUGUCAGGGUGUGUUUGUAUUAAGGUACAUUUAUUGAGGUGAGGGUGUGUGUAUUAUGGUGUGUGUAUUAUGGUCAGGGUGUGUGUAAUAAGGUGUAUUUAUUAAGGUGAGGGUGUGUGUAUAAAAGUGUGUAUUAAGGUGUGUGUGUGUGUGUGUGUGUGUGUGUGUGUGUGUGUGUGUCUGUGUGUGUGUGUGUGUGUGUCUGUGUGUGUGUGUGUGUGUGUGUGUGUGUGUGUGUGUAUUAAGGGUUAUGUGUUUUUGGUGUAUGUAUUAAGGUGUGUGUGUGUAUAAGGUGUGUGUAUUAAGGUGUGUGUGUGUAUUAGGUGUGUGUAUUAAGGUGUGUGUGUGUGUGUAUU